rnacentral:rRNA from 1 species
GCAUAUCAAUAAGCGGAGGAAAAGAAACCAACCGGGAUUGCCCCAGUAACGGCGAGUGAAGCGGCAAGAGCUCAAAUUUGAAAUCUGGCCCCUCCGGGGUCCGAGUUGUAAUUUGCAGAGGAUGCUUCGGGUGCGGCCCCUGUCUAAGUGCCCUGGAACGGGCCGUCAGAGAGGGUGAGAAUCCCGUCUUGGGCAGGGUGCCCGUGCCCGUGUGAAGCUCCUUCGACGAGUCGAGUUGUUUGGGAAUGCAGCUCUAAAUGGGUGGUAAAUUUCAUCUAAAGCUAAAUACCGGCCGGAGACCGAUAGCGCACAAGUAGAGUGAUCGAAAGAUGAAAAGCACUUUGAAAAGAGAGUUAAACAGCACGUGAAAUUGUUGAAAGGGAAGCGCUUGCGACCAGACUCGGCCUCGGGGUUCAGCCAGCAUUCGUGCUGGUGUACUUCCCCGGGGCCGGGCCAGCGUCGGUUCGGGCGGCCGGUCAAAGGCCCCAGGAAUGUAUCGUCCUCCGGGACGUCUUAUAGCCUGGGGUGCAAUGCGGCCAGCCUGGACCGAGGAACGCGCUUCGGCACGGACGCUGGCGUAAUGGUUGCAAACGACCCGUCUUGAAACACGGACCAAGGAGUCUAACAUCUACGCGAGUGUUCGGGUGUCAAACCCGUACGCGCAGUGAAAGCGAACGGAGGUGGGAGCCCCUUUGGGGCGCACCAUCGACCGAUCCUGAUGUCUUCGGAUGGAUUUGAGUACGAGCGUAGCUGUGGGGACCCGAAAGAUGGUGAACUAUGCCUGAAUAGGGCGAAGCCAGAGGAAACUCUGGUGGAGGCUCGCAGCGGUUCUGACGUGCAAAUCGAUCGUCAAAUUUGGGGUAUAGGGGGCGAAAGACUAAUCGAACCAUCUGGUAGCUGGUUCCUGCG